AUGUAUAUCAAUAACAACACACAGGUAUUUUGACGCAUAGUCUGUGUAAUACCUAAAUGAUACGUAGUUAGCAUUAAAUAGUAAGUACAUAUGUGCUAGUCAGUGGGGAUGUUUGAAAUUUGUAAGAUUUGGUAGUUACAAAUUUCAAUUCAAAACAUCAACUAUCAUACAUGUAUUUAUCGGAGACAUAUAAUACACAUCUCUGUAUGAACCAAUAACUAUCCUACAGAAGAACAUUAAGGAAGUAUAUGAAAUGACACAGAUUGUUUGAAAUCCAUUUAUGGGAAAUUGUAUAAAGAAAUGUCGUCAUUAUGGCAAUGAUUCUAUAUUUGAAAUUUCUGACAUUUUUGAUCUCCAAAGAUCCCUUGAUUUACUGCGUGAACAGACCAGCAAUGAUUCCAGUUAUACAGAAAGUACUUUAAGAAGUACACACUCCGUUGGGCAACCUCCGUCAAUACUGUCGUUUCAAAACGAGGAUGAAAAUGCUACUGUAUACAUUGACAGUGACGUGUGUUUAAUAUGCUUAGACCAAUAUGAUGACGAAGAACGCAAGCCGAUCAUUCUACCAUGCGGACACAUACUUUGUACCGCAUGUGUCAGGAUUAUGGCACAAAAACGUGGAUACAAGUCCAUUAAAUGUCCUGUUGAUAGGGAAAAGCACGAUAUCAGACAGGCCAGUAUACCAGAGGAAAACGAUGAAACGUAUUCAACUACAACCACAUCGACAGAAAAUAAUUUUCAAAUACCGAGGAUAAUCCAGAUGAAUGACUUGCAAGUACAAUUACAACAGAUAAGGCUGACAAAUGAAACCGAACCAAUUCCGGACUACACUCCACCUUCGACGCCAUAAAAAUGAAAUCUGCAUGGUCAAUUCAUUCAUGAUAAAGAGUCUUGUGUAUUUGCAAAUUGACGAAUAACAAUUAGAGAUUUUAAAAUCGUUGCAAUAACCAAGUCAGAUUUAUAUUAAUUAUUAUAUUUAUAAUUUCCUUCCCUAAAAUCCAAUGGUUAUUUAAAUAUUUACAUCGCAACAGAUAACAUGAAAAUUGCACAACUAAACUUUGUUCUUGUUUCAACUAUUUGACCAGUCUAUUGAAAUUCAAGAUUCUUAUUCAUAUCUAGGACUAACUUUUAAUUACAAUGGUUCAUUUGCUACAGCAAAAAAAAAAACGCUUAAGCGAACAAGCACAGAAAGCACUAUUUGGCCUUUAUACAAAGAAACGUAACCUAUCUAUACCUGUCGACUUGCAAUAACUGUUUGAUACACUUAUUCUUCCCAUUCUGACAUAUGAGUGUGAAAUAUGGGGAUUCGGAAACAAUUAUAUGCUGUAAAAUCCAUCUACCGUUUUGCCGAAAUUGUUAAAAAUUAGAUCCUCGACACCAAAUUUUAUGACAUAUGGAGAACUUGGUCGUACAUCAAUAUAUAUAUAUUAAUCAAAGUUAGAAUGGUGUGUUUUUGGAAUAAACUUCUCUCCAAUGAAAACAAACUAAGCAGUAUCCUGUUUAUACGUUCAAGCGGAUUGACUAUCUCUUAAAUCGAUUGUAUACAAUUCUGGACUUAGCUAUGUUUCGACUUAGGUAUGUUUGGACUCAGCAAUUGCCAUUAGAUGUUAAUCAAUUAGAGGAGAAUUUUACGGUCUGUUCAAAACAAUGUUUUGUUUAGAAAAGUAUGUUUUACAAUUAUCACCCAUCGAAGGUGAAUAUAUCUAAAUUAAGAUGCUGUAAUGGGAAAAUUCCAGUAGAGCUGAGUAGGUGGUACAGAUCUGUACAAUAUUCCGAAAGAAGAGAGGGUAUGUCAUAUGUAUAAAAAGAAGAUGUGGUAUGAUUGCCAAUGAGACAACUCUCCACAAGACACCAAAUGACACAGAAAUUAACAACUAUAGGCCACGGUACGGCCUUCAAUAAUGAGCAAAGCUCAUACCGCAUAGUCGGCUAUAAAAAGCCCCGAAAUGACAAAUAUAAAACAAUUCAAACGAGAAAACUAACGGCCUAAAUUAUGUAAAAAAUAAUGAACGAAAAACAAAUAUGAUACACAGCAACAAACGACAACCACUUAAUCACAGGCUCCUGACUUGGGACAUGCACAUACAGAAUGUGGCGGGGUUAAACUAGUUUGACGGCGCCAACCCGCCCCCUAACCUGGGACAGUGGUGUAAUAGUACAACAUAAGAACAAUCGGACGUGGAUGGGUACUUAUACAUCCCCACAACAAAAAGACACUAAGUACAGAUCUGAGAGUACUCGCAGUUACUGACAGCUAGUUCAAAGCCAAUAACAACUAAUAAAAAAAGUCAUGCAUCUAAGACUAAAAUUUUAAUCAUAACACAUCCAACAUCCAAUGGAUUUAGUAUAUAGAAGUCAUAAACAGCCAGAGAAAAACAUGACCUUGUGCAAUGCCAAGAUACAAGUAUCGACAGAUUGUAGAGCCAUGAAUGUGCAUAUGUAUAUAAAAAUAAUGUUUAGUUUGAAUUUAAUUUAUUGAUAACAAAAUCAAUAUUAAGGUCGAUAUAAACAAUAUUCAAAGAUCUAAUUACAGUGUUGAAUUGGUAACCUUUUAGAACAAGUUUAUUAAAAGGAUCGAUAAGUUUACCCGGAUCAUUUCUAAAUUUCCGGGCUCGGUAAACAACAUCUCCGUUAAAAAGAGGAUGUGCUAUCCCGUUUGAAAUAAGUUUUCUACAGGUACAACCAAACUUCAAAAUCAAAUCUUUAUAUCUAUGGAAGAAUUUAGUAAAGAUUUUAAGUAAUUUGUGGUAACGAAAUCCCUGACUUAAUAAUUUACCAGUAAUAUAUAGAUUACGUUCAUUGAAAUCCAAAACGUCACAACAGACACGGGCAUAGCGAACCAGUUGUGAUAUAUAAACACCAUAAGAUGGUGCCAAAGGAACAUCAUCGUCCAAAAAAGGAAAAUUAACAAUAGGGAACGCAAAAUCGUCCCUUUCGUCAUAAAUUAUAGUGUACCGUCUCCCGUGUAAAACUAAACUAUAUGUUUGAAUGCUAUUGGUAAUGAAUACCAUUACUUAUUCGAUUGCUCUCAUUGGGUAAUAUAAAGAUACUAAAAUGUAUCUUUAUUUGUUUCAAAGUUGAUUAAACUAUUAUAAAGUAUAGUAAUUAUUAAUAUAUUUCAUUUUAGAGUUGUUUUAUUUCUUUCUAUGAUCGUAUGUGAUAGUAUUUUGUAUAUGUGUACCUCUUGUUUCAUAUGUGAAUAUGACAGAGUGUUUUUAAAUAAAGCAUAUUGUAUAUUAUAUACAAUUUUGAAUUGUGAAGCUCUUGUACAAUAACUAAAUGUUGUAUACUUGUUGUAUUCAGAGUAUCAAGUGAGAGUUUUGGUACAGCAGAGUCAAAUAUCAUACAGUUUGGUUCGAGAAAUGCUUAAAUCUUUCUUUAAAGUAUGAAAAUAAACUAUUGUAUUGACUUCUUUUAAUACGAAUCUAAACAUUUUAAGAUAGGUAUAAACUGACCUGUAGAAAUCACGAUCUUGUGGAAAAUAUAUAGAUUUGUCUCAAAAUCCAAGUUAUCGUUUCACAUUUUCUUACUGCUUUACAAACUAUGAUAAUUUUGGCCAGACUAUUUUGGUAAAUAUCAAUUAUCAAAAACAAAUCCCUUUAAUUUCGCUGCGCUUACUCGAUACAAAUCUACAUAUUGUGACUUGCAGUUGAUAUAUUAUAGUAUCAGUAUACAAGAAACCUGAUAAUCCCAAAAUAAAGGUUGAUAUCCUAAAAUUGAACGGAGAGAUAAUAAAACCUAGUCUAAAUAUUGGUGACGUCACAGAACUUUAGAAUUGUUUUAUGAUGGGAGGAUUUUGCAUCAUUUCAAAGUGCAUACAAAAUGAAUUUGCAAAUUAGCGCGAAGAAAGUGUAUGCCUGUAAGAGGGAACUUCAGCAAAAUGCAAGAACAACCGGCUCAAUCUAAACCAUACCUAUUUUUGUUUGAGCCACGCGUUUUCCGAAAAAAAGGCAAAUUUGUUCCAUUUGUAGUAUUGACUGUAUGUGAGAUUGAAGCGGGAUUACAUUUUCCGCAAACUACUAAAGUAUAAAAAAAACACAGAAUGACUGCUAUCUCAAAAUACGUCGCGGUACUCUAGACUUGCUCCGUUAAUACCCUCUCUAAUUAGACUUAUUUUUGAUAUUGCAGUAAUGUAUUUGUAUAUGCAAGAGGAUAUACAUAUACAUACAUGUAUAUGUGUGUUUAACAAGUCAGGAUUUUACUUCGCCAAAAUUAUCUCUCCAUUGCGCCACUUAUUUUUUUCAAUCAUGAAAAUGGAAGCCAGUGUAUAUAAUAAUACUUUUAUUCAGAAGCAAUACAGCUUAUAGAAUAUACAUUUUUACAUCAAAUUUUUAAAUGCAUCAGUGUAAUAUUAAUAACAAUAAUUAUACAAAAUACACAUAUGGCGGAGAAUGACAAUAAAUUCAUAUGAUAAAUAAGGAAUACAACUACAAAAUGUACGUAUUACGGAUUUUGUCGAUGUUGAACAAAAAUUUACCUAAAUUAUUAAGUUCUUUCACAUUGUGAACUGAUAACAACUGUAUAAAUUUAAAAGUGGAUGGUUUUUGCCAAUAUUAUUUCUUAAUAUAUUGUUUUCUUACAUCAUUAUAUCUAUUACAUUCUAAAAUAAAAUGGUAUUCGUCUUCAACAAUAUUGCUAUUGCACAUAGUACAUAAUCUAUUUUCUCUAUCUACAUUGUAAUAUCUGCCUGUCUCGACAUUGAGGCUAUGGGCAGAGAUACCAUAUUUACAUAUAUAAGGUUUAUAUAUUUGAUUAACAGGUCUAUCUAAAUAAAGUUGCAAUAUACCUGUGUCAUAUAUAUAUAUCUAUAAAGUAUACAUUUAGAUGAAUUGUUAAAAAACGCAUUAACAUUAGUGAUAAAGGUAUCUUUCAUUCGUUAUUUUAGCUCAUGUAUAAAUAUAUCAACAUUUUUUACGCUUUGGUUUAGCCAUACAUCAUGAAAACCAUAUUUACAAAAAAUAUCUCUGACUGAACAUGCCCAAUUCAAUUUGUCUUUGGGUUUUUUAAAUGAACUCUCCAACAUAUCUUCAUAACAUGCUUUUAAUAUACAGUUAUCAGUAUCUAAUAAUUUAAACCAAAAGUGAAUCAUUUUUCUUUGUCUUUCAUAAUACAUGUAAGGAUGACGCUCUGUUAAUUUAUCUUCUUGAAAACCGAUAAAUGUAUCCACAUGGUUGCAUUACGAUCCUUAUAUGACAGAUGUAUUUUAAAAGACAAAUGUAUCUUCUAGCUAUAAAUUAUCAUUUAAUGUACUUUUAGUAUAAAUAUAAAAUUAAGAAGAUGUGGUAAGAUCAAUGAGACAUCUCUCCACCAGAGACAAAAUGACAUAGAAGUUAACAACUAUAGGUCACCGUACGGCCUUCAACAAUGAGCAAAAUCCAUACCGCAUAGUAAGCUAUAAAAGGCACCGAAAUGAAAAAUGUAAAAUAUUUCAAACGAGAAAACUAACGACCUGAUUUAUGUACAAAGCAAUAAACGAAAAACAAAUAUGAUAUACAGCAACAUACGAUUCCACUGAAUUAUGCAGGCUCUUGACUUUGAACAGGUAUAUACAGAAAAAAAAUAAUAAUGGAUUAAAUUGUCAAUAAUUUCUACAGAUUUUUUCGUUUGAAAAAGAAUAAUGUACAUAAUUAAAUUUUAUAUGUUAUAGCAAAAUGUUCAAAUCACAAUUCAUAUUACGUGUGAUACUGUUUGUUUGCGGCCUGUGUAUUAUUUUUAGAAAGUGAUUAUUGAGUUAUGUCGCUUUGUACAAACAUUUCAAUAUUCUUAAAAAUGUAAACAUGUCAUUUGUCAGUUCGGAACAUUACCGUGCAUUUGAUUUAUUAACAACUUUCUCAAUAACAUGUAUUCCCAACAAUCAAACCACGCCUGUAUAAUUUUUAAAUUUCAAAGUUGACGCAGGUUAAGUAUUUACAACAGAGAAUUCGUAGAUGUACAUCAUCCAAAAUGAAUAGCAGAGCGCGACAAGCCCCGCCCCUGUUUGCUUCUGCUUUGUAAAUGGAGCACGAGGAGAUGAAUUGGGGAGGUGUAUGAGGUAACAUUUACAAUUUAUGCACUGUUCAUACUGGGGACUAUAUUUAAAGGCAAAGACAACGAAUCGAAUAGUGAUUCCUGGGCAAGUACUGGGAUGUCAAAGAUACCCGCACACGCAUACUUACGUACGGGUAUUAACGCCUGAAAAGAAUUGUUUUUUUUUAUUGGAUAAAGUACACAGAUUACCUAUGAAAGAGUGAUGAGUGAGCUAUAUUUACACACAAAGAAGUCAUUGUUUUAUCACAUUUUGAAAUAGGACUGACACGUGAUGAGUCAAAAGCAACAGGUCUUGAUAAUAUCAAUGCAAAGUUUUUAAAAAUGUCAUCACACCUUAUUUCAGUUCCAUUAUGUCACAUUUUUAAUUUAAGCAUCAGAAAAUCAGUAUACCCAUCGUUAUUCUAACUGGCUAAAGGUAUACCAGUUUUUAAGAAUAAGGUUCGAAAAAUGAUAUAUUUAACUACAUACCUAUUGCAAUUUUACCAUUGAUAUCUAAAAUCCUUGAGCGACACGUAAAAACUCAUUUGAUGAAUUUUCUAAACAAGUAUAAUAUGUUGUGUGUCAUGCAAUCAGGCUUUUUUACAAACCAUUCCUGUCAAACUGCUAGAUAGAUAAAUGGUAAAAACCCAUUAAUGAAGGAAAUUUAGUAGGGGUAGUAUUUUUGGAUCUGUGUAAAGCUUUCGAUCUUCUAAAUCGUAAACUGCUCCUUUAAAAAUUACAAAAAUAUAAAUGUUCUUAUAAUUCACUUCAUUGGUUUACUUCAUAUUUGGCCUACAGGUCGUAUUCAUUUCAAAUACCUUUUCAAAUGUAACUACAUUAAAAGCAGGUGUACCUCAAGGGUCAGUUUUAGGUCCUAUAUUAUUCUUGAUAUUUAUUAAUGAUUUGCAUUUAUAUAAUCCUAAUCAUAACACUGAUCUUUUUGCUGAUGAUAGCACUAUUUCUGUGAUUGAAAAAGGCAAAAUGUAUAUAAGUCAGGCACUCAAUGCUGUAUUAGAAAAUAUUUGUCAUUGGUGUGAUGAAAACAAAAUGUUAAAUAAAGUAAAUGUGUCAAAAACAAAGACAAUGUGUAUACUGUCUGUCAUGUGUAAUGACACAUUAAAUAUAUCCAUUAAUGGCCAACAUAAUAAUGAGUCACUGUCCUUGGUAUUUUUGUUGAUGCAACUCUGUCUUGGUAUGAUCAUAUUAAUCAUAUUAUCAAAAAAGUUAAUUUUUCAUUAGCGUUAUUAAAAAGUAUCAAGAAAUGCUUGAAUCAUAAUGCACGAAUUCUGUUUUACAAUGCUUAUAUUCUUCCACAUUUGGAUUACUGUUGUUCAGUACGGGGAAACUGUAACGAGCUUUUCAUUGAUAAUUUACUAAAAUUGCAAAAAAGGGCAGCUAGAAUUUUUUUAAACGAACACGAUAUUCGUAAACCAUCUAUUGAACUAUUUAAGGAAUUAUUCUUACUAAGAGAAUACUUUACCACAAGUCAUUAUUAAUGCAUAAAUCAAAACAUGAACUGGCACCAAAAUAUUUAUCAAAUCUUAAUGUGCCUACAAAUAGUAAACAAUUGUACAAUACUCGACUUUCGUCAUCAGAUAAUUUUAUUGUCCCUGAAUUAAAUAUAGAAUUAUACAAAUCAAGUUUUUCUUUUAGUAGUCCAGAAGUUUGGAAUUCACUAUCCAGUGAAAUUAAAUAAUCAAAAACUGUAUCUGCAUUCAAAUACUCUUACAAGUCAUUAUUUUUUUUUAACAAAGUGUGAAAUUUAUAAGUUUAACCACAAUGUAUACUAUAGGUGUAUUAUUUUUGUCAUAUGUUGUUUAUAUUAGUGUAUUAGUAGAUUGAUUAUGUUUUAUUCAUGUAGUUAAUAUUGUAUGUAGAGAGUCGUAUUGCAAAUUGGUUUAAUCCAAAUGAGUUACUCUCUUUAAAUAAAGAUAUAUAUUAUUA